rnacentral:rRNA from 1 species
UGGGGAAUUUUGCACAAUGGGGGAAACCCUGAUGCAGCGACGCCGCGUGAGCGAAGAAGGCUUUCGAGUCGUAAAGCUCUGUCCUAUGAGAAGAUAAUGACGGUAUCAUAGGAGGAAGCCCUGGCUAAAUACGUGCAAGCAGCCGCGGUAAUACGUAUGGGGCGAGCGUUGUCCGGAAUUAUUGGGCGUAAAGGGUACGUAGGUGGUUUUUUAAGUCAGGUGUCAAAGCGUGGAGCUUAACUCCAUUAAGCACUUGAAACUGAAAGACUUGAGUGAAGGAGAGGAAAGUGGAAUUCCUAGUGUAGCGGUGAAAUGCGUAGAUAUUAGGAGGAAUACCGGUGGCGAAGGCGACUUUCUGGACUUUUACUGACGCUCAGGUACGAAAGCGUGGGGAGCAAACAGG